AUGGAACAAUGUAGGCAAGGGAAGUCGGCAAAACGGAUCCGUAACUUCGGGAAAAGGAUUGGCUCUGAGGACUGGGCUCGGGGGUCCCGGCCCCGAACCCGUCGGCUGUCGGCGGAUUGCUCGAGCUGCUCACGCGGCGAGAGCGGGUCGCCGCGUGCCGGCCGGGGGACGGACCGGGAAUCGCCCCUUCGGGGGCUUUCCCCGAGCAUGAAACAGUCGACUCAGAACUGGUACGGACAAGGGGAAUCCGACUGUUUAAUUAAAACAAAGCAUUGUGAUGGUCCUCGCGGAUCCUGA
rnacentral:rRNA from 1 species